rnacentral:rRNA from 1 species
UACGGGGGGGGCAAGCGUUUGUUCGGAAUUACUGGGCGUAAAGGGCUCGUAGGCGGCCAACUAAGUCGGAUGUGAAAUCCCCCAGGCUCAACCUGGGAACUGCAUCCGAUACUGGAUGGCUUGAAUUCGGGAGAGGGAUGCAGAAUUCCAGGUGUAGCGGUGAAAUGCGUAGAUAUCUGGAGGAAUACCGGUGGCGAAGGCGGCAUCCUGGACCGACAUUGACGCUGAGGAGCGAAAGCCAGGGGAGCAAACGGG